UUAAAGUUUUAUUCUCGCUUAAGGAAUUGUUAUAGUAAUGAUUUAUAUGUAGAUUGUUAACAUUUUAAAAGUUAUGUAAGCAGUAUUUAGUAUUGGACAAUUAAGGUGAUUUAGAUCCAGUAAUUAUUAUAGUGCCGGUUAAAUUCGUGCCAGCUGCCGCGGUUAGACGAUGGGCUAGAACAAUUCGGUUUUAAUUGAAGUUAGUUUAAUUGUUUAAUUUUUUGUUAGUUAUUUAGGAUGAAAUCUGAUUGCUGGUAAUGUUAAGGUUACGAGACUUGGAAAGCUUAGUAUGAGACUAGGAUUAGAUACCCUAUUAUUUAAGUUGUAAAUGAUGAUUUGGAUAUUAAAAGGUAUGGUCUUUAAAUUCAAAGAAUUUGGCGGUAAUUUAAUCUAUUUAGAGGAAUCUGUUCCAUAAUCGAUAAUACACGAGAGGUGCUACUUAAGAUAUUAGUUUAUAUACCGUCGUCAUCAGAUUAUUUUUAAUGGAAAUUUUCUUAUUUUAUUAUUAUAGUUUAUGUCAGAUCAAGGUGUAGUUUAUGCUUAAGAGGAAAUGGAUUACAAUAGGAUUACUUAUACGGAUUAUAUCUUAAAUUGUAAUAGGAAGGUGGAUUUAAUAGUAAAUUAAUAGGAAGUUGAUGUUAGUUCUAAAUUGUGCACAUAUCGCCCGUCGCUCUCGUAGUUCAAUGAGAUAAGUCGUAACAUAGUAGAUGUACUGGAAAGUGUAUCUGGAAUUU
rnacentral:ncRNA from 1 species